rnacentral:rRNA from 1 species
UACGAAGGGAGCUAGCGUUGUUCGGAAUCACUGGGCGUAAAGCGCACGUAGGCGGAUGUGUCAGUCAGGGGUGAAAUCCCGGAGCUCAACUUCGGAACUGCCUUUGAUACAGCACGUCUUGAGUCCGAUAGAGGUGGGUGGAAUUCCUAGUGUAGAGGUGAAAUUCGUAGAUAUUAGGAAGAACACCGGUGGCGAAGGCGGCCCACUGGAUCGGUACUGACGCUGAAGCGCGAAAGCCAGGGGAGCAAACGGG